UAACCUACGGGACGCAGCAGUGGGGAAUAUUGGGCAAUGGGCGCAAGCCUGACCCAGCAACGCCGCGUGAAGGAAGAAGGCUUUCGGGUUGUAAACUUCUUUUAUGAGGGACGAAACAAAUGACGGUACCUCAUGAAUAAGCCACGGCUAACUACAUGCCAGCAGCCGCGGUAAUACGUAGGUGGCAAGCGUUAUCCGGAUUUACUGGGUGUAAAGGGCGUGUAGGCGGGACUG
rnacentral:rRNA from 1 species